rnacentral:rRNA from 1 species
UACAGAGGUCCCAAGCGUUGUUCGGAUUCACUGGGCGUAAAGGGUGCGUAGGUGGUGAGGUAAGUCGGAUGUGAAAUCUCCGAGCUCAACUCGGAAACUGCAUUUGGAAAACUACCUUGCUCGAGGGUUGGAGGGGGGGACUGGAAUACUUGGUGUAGCAGUGAAAUGCGUAGAUAUCAAGUGGAACACCAGUGGCGAAGGCGAGUCCCUGGACAACUCCUGACACUGAGGCACGAAAGCUAGGGGGAGCAAACAGG